GCCUUCAUGGUGCAGUGGUCAGCACGUUCGAUAUGUAUUCGAGAAGUCCGUGGUUCGAUUCCCGGUGAGGGCU
rnacentral:tRNA from 1 species